GUGGGGAAUCUUCCGCAAUGGACGAAAGUCUGACGGAGCGACGCCGCGUGAGUGAAGAAGGCCUUCGGGUCGUAAAGCUCUGUCAUCAGGGACGAACGGCCGGUGGAGUGGAAAGCCACCGGAUUGACGGUACCUGAGAAGGAAGCCACGGCUAACUACGUGCCAGCAGCCGCGGUAAUACGUAGGUGGCAAGCGUUGUCCGGAAUUAUUGGGCGUAAAGCGCGCGCAGGUGGGAUCUUAAGUCCAUUUUUAAAGUUCGGAGCUCAACUCCGUGAUGGGAUGGAAACUGGGAUUCUUGAGUACCGGAGAGGAAAGCGGAAUUCCCCGUGUAGCGGUGAAAUGCGUAGAUAUGGGGAGGAACACCAGUGGCGAAGGCGGCUUCCUGGCACAAUACUGACGCUCAUGUGCGAAAGCUAGGGCAGCGAACGGGAUUAGAAACCCCUGUAGUCC
rnacentral:rRNA from 1 species